rnacentral:sRNA from 1 species
AAGAGUCCUCGUUAGGCCAGGCGUCUACGCAAACAUACGCCGCUGCCCCGAAACGUCGAAAGACGCCAAGGGGUCACAAGGUUUGGCCCGCUUAAGGCUUUACCUAAUGCGGCUGAAACGCAGGUUUCUACGUUGCGCAGUGCCAAAGCUCGACUAGGAGGAUGCGC